rnacentral:rRNA from 1 species
AAUAUUGCACAAUGGGCGAAAGCCUGAUGCAGCGACGCCGCGUGGGGGAUGAAGGCCUUCGGGUUGUAAACCCCUUUCAGCAGGGAAGAAGCGAAAGUGACGGUACCUGCAGAAGAAGCGCCGGCUAACUACGUGCCAGCAGCCGCGGUAAUACGUAGGGCGCAAGCGUUGUCCGGAAUUAUUGGGCGUAAAGAGCUCGUAGGCGGUUUGUCGCGUCUGCUGUGAAAACCCGAGGCUCAACCUCGGGCCUGCAGUGGGUACGGGCAGACUAGAGUGCGGUAGGGGAGACUGGAAUUCCUGGUGUAGCGGUGGAAUGCGCAGAUAUCAGGAGGAACACCGAUGGCGAAGGCAGGUCUCUGGGCCGCAACUGACGCUGAGGAGCGAAAGCAUGGGGAGCGAACAGGAUUAGAUACCCUGGUAGUCCAUGCCGUAAACGUUGGGCACUAGGUGUGGGGCUCAUUCCACGAGUUCCGUGCCGCAGCAAACGCAUUAAGUGCCCCGCCUGGGGAGUACGGCCGCAAGGCUAAAACUCAAAGGAAUUGACGGGGG